UACGUAGGGGCUAGCGUUAUCCAGAAUUACUGGGCGUAAAGGGUGCGUAGGUGGUUUCUUAAGUCAGAGGUGAAAGGCUACGGCUCAACCGUAGUAAGCUUUUGGAACUGUAAGACUUGAGUGCAGGAGAGGAGAGUGGAAUUCCUAGUGUAGCGGUGAAAUGCGUAGAUAUUAGGAGGAACACCAGUGGCGAAGGCGGCUUCCUGGUCUGUAACUGACACUGAGGCGCGAAAGCGUGGGGAGCAAACAGGAUUAGAUACCCCGGUAGUCCAUGAG
rnacentral:rRNA from 1 species